rnacentral:rRNA from 1 species
UACGUAGGGGGCUAGCGUUGUCCGGAAUCAUUGGGCGUAAAGCGCGCGUAGGCGGCCAGAUAAGUCCGGUGUGAAAGUCACAGGCUCAACCUGUGAAUGCCGCUGGAAACUGUCUGGCUAGAGUCCGGAAGGGGCGAGUGGAAUCCUGGUGUAGCGGUGAAAUGCGUAGAGAUCGGGAGGAACAUCAGUGGCGAAGGCGGCCAUCUGGAUCAACACUGACGCUGAGGCACGAAAGCGUGGGGAGCAAACAGGG